CAGUAGCCGCGGGAAAACGUAGGGCGCAAGCGUUAUCCGGAAUUAUUGGGCGUAAAGAGCUCGUAGGCGGUUUGUCGCGUCUGCCGUGAAAGUCCGGGGCUCAACCCCGGAUCUGCGGUGGGUACGGGCAGACUAGAGUGAUGUAGGGGAGACUGGAAUUCCUGGUGUAGCGGUGAAAUGCGCAGAUAUCAGGAGGAACACCGAUGGCGAAGGCAGGUCUCUGGGCAUUAACUGACGCUGAGGAGCGAAAGCAUGGGGAGCGAACAGGAUUAGAUACCCCAGUAGUCCCUGUCUCUUAUAC
rnacentral:rRNA from 1 species